CCAACUUAUUUAAUAGUUUAAAUUUUUAAAUCAAAUGAUCUAACAAAUUCAAAUACAGAUAAAAAGAUAACAUAAAUUCAACUCAAAUACAUAUUCUAGGAUGGAUCACACAUUAAUUCUAGUACAACUCAUUAUAGUAGAAAAGCAGUUGACUUGCAAAUUACAAGAACUAGAGAUCGGACCAGGAGUGCUUGAUUCCCCUUGCUAGCAUGCAAGAAAUUUUAUCGAUAUUCCACUGUCAUUAAUUCACCAUCUCACCACCAAAGAAAACCAGUUGUUAUGAUACCUUCUUUUCUAUUACUUCUUCCAUAACCCGAGCUCGAAGAUGGAAGAGAUAAGAGAUUCCCAUUGAUAAUGUGGUCAAAAACCCACAAUAGAAUCCAGCCACAAUCGUAGAAUUGAUUAUCUUCAUGCGUAAAGAUACUAUAUUACAAUAACAAUCGUGGGCGAACGUGUAAACGAUCGGGUGUUCCAUAUAUAUAGUAUCUCUUAACUAGGCGAAAAUUUGGCUAAUUAUUUUUCUUGAAAUUCAAACACUAUUACAUUUAGCUCGUAAAAAGGAUUUAAAAAAAAAAAAUCACAAAACUCGAAGAAUAAUAUAUAUUGGCAUUGGUGGAGUUCUUCCACUCCCAAAUCCACAAAGAACACCGGGAAGUUAUGAAGGGAGCUUCGAACUCAUAUUGAUCAUGGUUUGAGAGUAGGAAUCAAUAAAAUAGAGAUCAUUGAAACACUAAACCAUCCAAUGAAAAGAUCAAUAUAGUUGUUGUACUCACUCAAAACUUGACAAAAAGAGCUAUAAACUCAAGAAAAAUGUACACACAAAAUACACACAUAUGUAGACAUAUAUAUAGUAGAAAUACUGUGGAGCAUGCAUAGUGUAGAGCCCUUAUCUUAUAUUCACGCAUGCAGAUAUUUUUUCUGUAAUGUCCAUUGAGUUGGGCACGUUUCCAAAGGACAGUGAAAGGAGCUGCAAAGAAAUAAAGGGAGAAGGUGGAUUCUU
rnacentral:lncRNA from 1 species